CACCCACACACCCUGAAAUCUUCACAAGGGAAAUACCGAGUGCUGUAGCAGGGGCUUUCCACCAAAGGACGCAAUUCCUGCAGGGAAGCGGGGGGAGGGCAGUGCCCAGGGAGUGGGGUCCAUGGGGCUCGCGCCCCUCCCUUACCAGCUUCAUGGUGUUGUUAUUCUGCUCCCAGCGCCACAGCAUCACGCUCAUCUUACUUCUGCCGGAGCAGAAAAGGGGGAGCGGAAGAAGGGCAGGAAAGGAGGAGGCGGCGGCGAGGCACCUGCCCGCAAGCCGCCUGGUCCCGCCUCGCUCCGGAUCCCGCGCUCCGCCCCGCAGGCAUCCCCGGCGGUAACAGCUCUGCACCGUGCUGCUCCCGCUGCUCCCGAGGCUCCGCGGGGCGCAGGGGACCCAGCCGGGGGCACAGGGGCCGGGCGCUCAGGUCCCGCGCUCUCGCCCACCCUGCUGCCUCCGCCAGCCGCUGGCUGGCGCGGGUGGAGGAAGCGGGAGAGAGGGUCGGAGCUAGGAGGUCUUCCCGAACCGCGCCGGGCACCGUGGGAACCGCACACCCACGCUGCGCUCGCCUGCAGCGUUUAUUUCCUGCUACGUAAGGACCCGGGCUGGGUCGUUUUCAAACGCACCUGGCUGCUGCCAGAGAAAGGACAUCCGCGCCCCGGAGGGCGGGAGGAGCGGACAGGCCAGGCGGAGACAUGGGAGGCGGCCUUUGUUUCCUCUCUGGCCUCCACCUGCUGCAGACUGCCCUGUGUCCUCCUCCCGGACUCUGGCCGACUAGCCCAGCGCAGGACCUGCGCCCAACACCCUGUGAUCUGACAGCGGUCCUCCAGGGAACCCCAACAACUUCCCUAGCCUGAAAAGGCUCUGCAGCCCUCCCGCUCCACACAGUAAGGUGGCUCCAGCACUCACGCCUUGGGCAGCAGAGACAUUUGGGAUCUGCAACUCUCCUGGUUGCAGAGUUCUGAUGGGAACUUAUGGAAUUAACUUAUUACACAUUCUUUUCAGUAGUUAGAAUUGUUCAAAAUGAAGGAGGUGAUGAAGUGGAUCCUAUUCUUUUAAAAAGUGGUCUUUAAAACAUGCCAGUUCCGGCUGGGGAUGUAGUUCAGCAGACCUGCCCAGCAAGCCCAAGGCCCUGGGUUCGAUUCCAGGUACCAAAACAAAAAAGGUGAAAAUGCCAAUUAGAUCAAAAUGUUGCCGCAUUACCUACAUCUUUCGGGAUUUGAUUUCUCUUCGUAGUUAAAUCACCUUAGACUCUUAGUCUUUCCUGUGCCUGCAGCUGCUCUCCUGCCCUCUGCCCCUGGCUGACUGCUCCAGCAACACUGAGUGGCCUCUUUCUUGUUCUCAAACACCUUGGGAUCUGGGUACCUAGCGGGCCCACUCCCUAGAACACUGCUCCCCCUGGACCUGCCCAUCGUCUCCUUUCUAACGUCACCCACUCAGAGGGACUUUUGACUCCUUCCCACUCUCUUCUAUCCCAUCAUGGUUGUCCUUCCUUCACCGCUCACUGUAUUAACUGAACUCACUUGUAUUCUUGCAUCUUUUCUGCCAUGUCCCACCAGGUGACAAAUUCCUCUACUGUGUCCCCAGCGCGUAGACCAGUGUGCAGUCCACAGUGGGAGCUCAGUGCAUGUCACCCAUAUGAGCUGUUGACGACUAUGCUACGACAGUCCGUGCAGCCUUCUCUGCAGCGAGGGCUGAGCCAGGCCCAGCACACAGCUGCCCUCCUGCCCGAGGCCCGAGCUCAGCCUGCCUGACCACAAGGGACACCUCUCUGACAGUGGCCCUCUACACACGUGCCCAGAGAACGAACAUGGGCAGCAAUAUUUGCAGCUUCAAGGGAAGGGGCACAUCCUGGGGGAAUGUACUAGAAACAGGACAGCAUGUUUCAUCUGAGAAAGUGUAUUUUCAUGUUAAGAUAUAGAUUUGGAAGCUAGUCCUAAAAUAGCUUUUUUUCCCCAAAAUAAAGCUUAAUAAAAUCUUAUUGGCCAAACAAAGCA
rnacentral:lncRNA from 1 species